rnacentral:sRNA from 1 species
GCUGGGUGUGGUGACUCACACCUGUAAUCCCAGCAAUUUGGGAGGCUGAGGCAGGAGGAUCACUUGAGCCCAGGAGUUUGAGACCAGCCUGGGCAACAUAGUGGGACCCUGUCUCUG